UCCGGUCUAGGUGGUCAGGUCCAUUUGAGAUUAUACAAGUUUUACCACAUGGAGCUGUUGAGCUGAAGAGUGGUGAUAGGACCUUCAAGGUCAAUGGGCAAAGGUUGAAGGAAUACAUAGAUGGAGGAUUUGAGCAACCAAAAACCUCCAUAUCACUGACAUAAUGCAUUGGGAUAGUCAAGCUAACGACUAUAAACUAGCGCUUCUUGGGAGGCAACCCAAGCAAAAU
rnacentral:lncRNA from 1 species